rnacentral:rRNA from 1 species
CCAGUGACAAAUGUUCAACGGCCGCGGUAUCCUAACCGUGCGAAGGUAGCGUAAUCACUUGUUCUUUAAAUGUGGACUAGUAUGAACGGCACCACGAGGGUUAUACUGUCUCCUUUCUCCAAUCAGUGAAACUAAUCUCCCCGUGAAGAAGCGGGGAUAAAAAUAUAAGACGAGAAGACCCUAUGGAGCUUAAAAGUUUACUUCAAACGCUAAACCCCUACAAAGUCAUAGACUACCACAAGAAGCCACGCGCCAUGAAAACAACUUUUAGGUUGGGGUGACCAUGGAGCACAAAACAACCUCCACGCUGAACAGGCCUCCAAGCCUCGAGCCAAGGGCCACAACCCGCCGCACUAAAAAAUUAACAUCCAUUGAUCCAAUGAAUUUUGAUCAACGAACCAAGUUACCCUAGGGAUAACAGCGCAAUCUACUUCAAGAGUUCCUAUCGACAAGUGGGUUUACGACCUCGAUGUUGGAUCAGGGUGUCCCAGUGGUGCAGCCGCUACUAAUGGUUCGUUUGUUCAACGAUUAAAACCCUACGU